rnacentral:rRNA from 1 species
CCACCGGCGGACGGCUCAGUAACACGUCGGUAACCUACCCUCGGGAGGGGGAUAACCCCGGGAAACUGGGGCUAAUCCCCCAUAGGCCUGAGGUACUGGAAGGUCCUCAGGCCGAAAGGGGCUUUUGCCCGCCCGAGGAUGGGCCGGCGGCCGAUUAGGUAGUUGGUGGGGUAACGGCCCACCAAGCCGAAGAUCGGUACGGGCUGUGAGAGCAGGAGCCCGGAGAUGGACACUGAGACACGGGUCCAGGCCCUACGGGGCGCAGCAGGCGCGAAACCUCCGCAAUGCGGGAAACCGCGACGGGGGGACCCCGAGUGCCGUGGCACCGCCACGGCUUUUCCGGAGUGUAAAAAGCUCCGGGAAUAAGGGCUGGGCAAGGCCGGUGGCAGCCGCCGCGGUAAUACCGGCGGCCCGAGUGGUGGCCGCUAUUAUUGGGCCUAAAGCGUCCGUAGCCGGGCCCGUAAGUCCCUGGCGAAAUCCCACGGCUCAACCGUGGGGCUUGCUGGGGAUACUGCGGGCCUUGGGACCGGGAGAGGCGGGGGGUACCCCUGGGGUAGGGGUGAAAUCCUAUAAUCCCAGGGGGACCGCCAGUGGCGAAGG